GAUGAAGAACGUAGUGAAAUGCGAUAAGUAAUGUGAAUUGCAGAAUUCAGUGAAUCAUCGAAUCUUUGAACGCACAUUGCGCCCCUUGGUAUUCCGAGGGGCAUGCCUGUUCGAGCGUCAUUAUAACCCCUCAAGCUCAGCUUGGUGUUGGGGCCUGCUGCACUGGCAGCCCUUAAAAUCAGUGGCGGCGCCAUCUGGCUCUAAGCGUAGUAAUUCUUCUCGCUAUGGAGUCCUGGUGGAUGCUUGCCAUCAACCCCCAAUUUUUCUAUGGUUGACCUCGGAUCAGGUAGGGAUACCCGCUGAACUUAAGCAUAUCAAUAAGCGGAGGA
rnacentral:misc_RNA from 1 species